ACGCUGGCCACACCCUCUUAGAGCGCCUGCAGGGUCCGGGCGGUCCCGGGGCUAGCAGCCCGGCCCCCUUGUGCCGGGAGCUUGAAUGUCUUCUCUACGGAUCACAGCUUCCGCCCACACUUUGGGGAAGGUGCUUCCCUGGGGCUCGCUCUGGAUCAGGCGCCUGCGCCCUCAGGGGCACCCUUCUCACGCCACUGCCGAGUUUGCGCCCCUCCUGGGACAGUUUGAGAGGUGAACAAACUUUUGAACGGAUAAAAAUCAAGAGGAGUCCGUCUGGAGCAGGAGCAGGUUCCUGUUUGACCACAAGGGCAGUGGUGAGGCGUAAAGCAGGAGUGGAGAGGAUCAAGAUUCAAAGGCAGGCUAGCAGCUGGACGCCAGGAAGAUCAAUAAGGAUCACAGCUGUUCCCUCCACACUCAAAGAAGAGAAGAUAGCAUUCCCAUCAAGGGGCAUUCUUAGCCCCUUGUAGGUUUGCUGUGUCACGCUCUAGAAAUGGCUCUGCCUCUCUGUUCUUCUGGCUCCAUAAGAUGAAGCUGAAUUUGGUGCCCAAAGUUGGUUCAUUCCCAGAUCGUGAAAAGAAUAGAAGAGCAAGUUCAAGAACCAGAUUUCUGGCCAAGGAACAAUCAUCUAAGAAAUUGUAAGUGGGAUUGACCUGAGUGUGGAUGAGUCAGGGCUGUGGAAAGAGGAAGUGGUCAUCCCUCUGGGGGGUCAGUCCUACCAGGGUCGAAGUAAACCUUUCCAGACACACAGACCCCUCUGCUCCCUCAGAGCUUGAAAAGGUUAAGACUCAAAAGCUGCCCUGAAACCUGGAAAUCUUUCCUUCAAUGUUAAAAGUCUUCAGACGUUCCUCCUGCUGUCCAGCCUCAGGGACUGCUCCCUAUCCCAGGAGGCGCCUCCCCCAAAGAAAGCAUGUCGGUCACAGUCAGUGAUCCUCCAAAGCCCCAGGCAUCCUUCUAGACACUUCUGUCUUCUGGAAUCAGAAGAAGGGCUGCCAACUCCAUCAGAAAUCAGGUUGCUCCUGGAGCCGUGCCGGUGAGCACAUAAACACUUCUUGAAUCCCUGCCCGCAUCGUAGAGGUCAUGGCCUACACUGGACACAUGGGUGUUGAGUGAUGGAGGCCGGGAAGGCAAAUGAAACUCCAAGCCUCGCUGAACGAAGGCCCCAGGCUACAAGCAGAUCCUAAAGGACUCACCUCAGCCCCAAGGUUGGACGUGUGAUCAUGUGUGGAUCUCAGACACCCAAGCUAGACAGAAGGAAAGACUUCCCCGAGUACGGGUUGGCAGUGCUGUUAGCAAUUUCAUCAGACAUGGAGGCCUCUCUUCUUGGAAGGCGGUGAAGCAGGAGAGUCCCCAUGCUGCUGAGCCUGGAAUGAGCCCUCUGUUCUCCCGGUGCCAGAGGAAGCUGGGAGCAAGACGCCCAUACUCAGCAGACAAGGGCAGGCUAAGCAGACCAGGCUUUCCCGUGCCACCAGAGGCAGUGGGUCACCUGCUGGCUGGGGGGCUCCCGGAAGCACUGUCUCCCCACUGUUCGUCCAAUGCCCCGUGCAGAGGGCCCCAGAGCUGACUGCGGUUAUGAAGCCGGCUGCCAUGUGGACGACCUGGAUCAGAGCACGGGGUAGUCAUAUAUGACAAUUGUUUGAAAUAUCACAGCCGCUCUCCCCCCACCCCCACUGGUGAUCUAUGGGCUGCGUGCCCUGUAAAAAUUAUUUAUCGGGGCCUCAGAGUGUCCUGAUUUAGUGCCGCUGCCUCUGGGGCCGAGGGGCCUGCCUGUCCGCCAGAGCCUAAGCGUUAAACGACGCUAAAAAGUUAAACGGCCAACGUUGGGGGCUCACUCGAGGAGGCGCCAUAAAGCUGUCGGAGCUGCUUAAAUCAGGAGCGAGGAUUCCCCGGGACAUCUUCUCACCAUAUGCCACAAGCCAAGACGGCUCUCCUCGCCGCUUUGGACUCACCCAAACCCAGCAGCCCACACUGGGCAGGGGGCUCUGGGGCCAGGCCGGGGCCAGAGCCAAGAAGGAGGUCAAGGCUGACCUCUCUCCUACAGACCUUCGAUCAGCAGCACCGGGCCCAGGGACCAAGAGUGUAAGGGAACACACCAUCCAGCCCUCUGCCCUUGGCCAGGGCUCUCCUCAUUCACACCCCAUGUUUAAAGACCUCCAUCAAAAAGCACUGCGGCCCUCUCUUCCCACGGCCCUGGGGGAGCAGCACCUUCCUGUCUCUCACUUCUGUCCCCCAGUUCUGUGCCACAAACCCCCUGUGAGGCCAAGUCGGUCUAUGGUGUGACCUCCAGUCUCUUCUGUACCACCGCCGCCCCCACACCCACUUGCCAGGCUCCCUG